AUUCUGCCCAUGCGGGGAAGGAUGAGAAGCUUCGACCAAGGUUCGACUCGAGCGCCAGCGAGAAAGCGUUGCCGCAGGCAACGACCCGAAGGGUGAAGCGCGCAGCGCUGAGUAAUCCUUCCCCCACCACCA
rnacentral:sRNA from 1 species